rnacentral:rRNA from 1 species
GNAUGGGCGCAGCCUGAUGCAGCGACGCCGCGUGCGGGAUGACGGCCUUCGGCGAANUAAACCGCUUNNGAUCGGGAGCAAGCCUUCGGGUGAGUGUACCUUUCGAAUAAGCACCGGCUAACUACGUGCCAGCAGCCGCGGUAAUACGUAGGGUGCAAGCGUUAUCCGGAAUUAUUGGGCGUAAAGGGCUCGUAGGCGGUUCGUCGCGUCCGGUGUGAAAGUCCAUCGCUUAACGGUGGAUCCGCGCCGGGUACGGGCGGGCUGGAGUGCGGUAGGGGAGACUGGAAUUCCCGGUGUAACGGUGGAAUGUGUAGAUAUCGGGAAGAACACCAAUGGCGAAGGCAGGUCUCUGGGCCGUUACUGACGCUGAGGAGCGAAAGCGUGGGGAGCGAACAGGAUUAGAUACCCUGGUAGUCCAAGGGCGAAUUC